CGCACAUUGCGCCCACUUGUAUUCCGAUGGGCAUGCACGUUCGAGCGUCAUCAAACACCCUCAAGUUUGACUUGGUAUUAGGCUGUGCUGGGAAACAGCUAGCUUUAAAAUCAGUGGCGGCCCUACCUGGCUCUAAGCGUAGUAAUUUUCUCGCUCUUGGGUCUGGUAGUUGCUUGCCAACAACCCCUAAUUUCAAUGUUUGACCUCGGAUCGUGUAGGAGUACCCGCUGAACUUAA
rnacentral:misc_RNA from 1 species